rnacentral:rRNA from 1 species
GAAGAACGCUGGCGGCGUGCCUAAUACAUGCAAGUCGAGCGAACGGACGAGAAGCUUGCUUCUCUGAUGUUAGCGGCGGACGGGUGAGUAACACGUGGAUAACCUACCUAUAAGACUGGGAUAACUUCGGGAAACCGGAGCUAAUACCGGAUAAUAUUUUGAACCGCAUGGUUCAAAAGUGAAAGACGGUCUUGCUGUCACUUAUAGAUGGAUCCGCGCUGCAUUAGCUAGUUGGUAAGGUAACGGCUUACCAAGGCAACGAUGCAUAGCCGACCUGAGAGGGUGAUCGGCCACACUGGAACUGAGACACGGUCCAGACUCCUACGGGAGGCAGCAGUAGGGAAUCUUCCGCAAUGGGCGAAAGCCUGACGGAGCAACGCCGCGUGAGUGAUGAAGGUCUUCGGAUCGUAAAACUCUGUUAUUAGGGAAGAACAUAUGUGUAAGUAACUGUGCACAUCUUGACGGUACCUAAUCAGAAAGCCACGGCUAACUACGUGCCAGCAGCCGCGGUAAUACGUAGGUGGCAAGCGUUAUCCGGAAUUAUUGGGCGUAAAGCGCGCGUAGGCGGUUUUUUAAGUCUGAUGUGAAAGCCCACGGCUCAACCGUGGAGGGUCAUUGGAAACUGGAAAACUUGAGUGCAGAAGAGGAAAGUGGAAUUCCAUGUGUAGCGGUGAAAUGCGCAGAGAUAUGGAGGAACACCAGUGGCGAAGGCGACUUUCUGGUCUGUAACUGACGCUGAUGUGCGAAAGCGUGGGGAUCAAACAGGAUUAGAUACCCUGGUAGUCCACGCCGUAAACGAUGAGUGCUAAGUGUUAGGGGGUUUCCGCCCCUUAGUGCUGCAGCUAACGCAUUAAGCACUCCGCCUGGGGAGUACGACCGCAAGGUUGAAACUCAAAGGAAUUGACGGGGACCCGCACAAGCGGUGGAGCAUGUGGUUUAAUUCGAAGCAACGCGAAGAACCUUACCAAAUCUUGACAUCCUUUGACAACUCUAGAGAUAGAGCUUUCCCCUUCGGGGGACAAAGUGACAGGUGGUGCAUGGUUGUCGUCAGCUCGUGUCGUGAGAUGUUGGGUUAAGUCCCGCAACGAGCGCAACCCUUAAGCUUAGUUGCCAUCAUUAAGUUGGGCACUCUAAGUUGACUGCCGGUGACAAACCGGAGGAAGGUGGGGAUGACGUCAAAUCAUCAUGCCCCUUAUGAUUUGGGCUACACACGUGCUACAAUGGACAAUACAAAGGGCAGCGAAACCGCGAGGUCAAGCAAAUCCCAUAAAGUUGUUCUCAGUUCGGAUUGUAGUCUGCAACUCGACUACAUGAAGCUGGAAUCGCCAGUAAUCGUAGAUCAGCAUGCUACGGUGAAUACGUUCCCGGGUCU